rnacentral:sRNA from 1 species
UGUCCCCCGAGCCGCCGACCGGGCCUCGAACGGGAUGGCAGAGGAGGUGAGGAGGGAGAAGCGUCCGGAGUGGGGCGGGCCCGGACUCCGACCCCCGGGGCGCUUCGAGCCCCCCAGCGGGUCACCGAGGCACCGCCGCUCCACCCAGGCCAGUAGCCGCCCCCUCGCGCACCCCGGCCCCGCCUCACACGCGCGCCCGAGCGAGCCCCGGGCUCCCCUCGGGCCCAGCGCGGCGCAGGGGUCAGUGGUUCUCUCGGGUCUCGGGACAGGUGAGCACCCUGAUGAAGGCCACAGUCCUGAUGCGGCAGCCUGGGCGGGUGCAGGAGAUCGUGGGCGCCCUCCGCAAGGGCGGCGGAGAUCGGUUACAGAAGGCGCCCACACCAGUACCUAGGGCCUUAUCCUCCCCAAGCCAGCGGCUCCCCAGUGAUUUCUGAUUUUGACAUGACCUUGAGCAGGUUUGCAUAUAAUGGAAAGCGAUGCCCUUCUUCUUACAAUAUUCUGGAUAAUAGCAAGAUCAUCAGUGAGGAGUGUCGGAAAGAGCUCACAGCACUCCUUCACCACUAUUACCCAAUUGAGAUCGACCCACACCGGACCGUCAAGGAGAAGCUACCUCAUAUGGUGGAAUGGUGGACCAAAGCGCACAAUCUCCUAUGUCAGCAGAAGAUUCAGAAGUUUCAGAUAGCCCAGGUGGUUAGAGAGUCCAAUGCAAUGCUCAGGGAGGGAUACAAGACCUUCUUCAACACACUCUACCAUAACAACAUUCCCCUUUUCAUCUUUUCUGCGGGCAUUGGUGAUAUCCUGGAAGAAAUUAUCAGACAGAUGAAAGUGUUCCACCCCAACAUCCACAUCGUGUCUAACUACAUGGAUUUUAAUGAAGAUGGUUUUCUCCAGGGAUUUAAGGGCCAGCUCAUACACACAUACAACAAGAACAGCUCUGUGUGUGAGAACUCUGGUUACUUCCAGCAACUUGAGGGCAAAACCAAUGUCAUCUUGCUGGGAGACUCCAUCGGGGACCUCACCAUGGCCGAUGGGGUUCCUGGUGUGCAGAACAUUCUCAAGAUUGGCUUCCUGAAUGACAAG